rnacentral:rRNA from 1 species
CCUACGGGCGGCAGCAGUGGGGAAUAUUGGACAAUGGGGGGAACCCUGAUCCAGCGACGCCGCGUGAGGGAAGAAGUAUUUCGGUAUGUAAAGCUCUAUUAGCAGGGAAGAAAAUGACGGUACGUGACUAAGAAGCCCUGGCUAACUACGUGACAGCAGCCGUGGUAAUACGGAGGGGGCAAGCGUUAUCCGGAUUUACUGGGUGUAAAGGGAGCGUAGACGGUGCAGCAAGUCUGAUGUGAAAGGUCGGGGCCCAACCCCGGGACUGCAUUUGAAACUGUGGAACUGGAGUACAGGUGAGGUAGGCGGAAUUCGUAGUGUAGCGGUGAAAUGCGUAGAUAUUAGGAAGAACCCCAAUGGCGAAGGCAGCUUACUAGACUGUAACUGACAUUGAUGCUCGAAAGCGUGGGGAGCAAACAGGAUUAGAUACCCGAGUAGUC